AUGAAAAUUGGUUCUAAAAGAGCCGAGCUAGGGACCUUUGUCUCUUUUACUCGCCGGUCGAAAGGUUAUUCUUUGCAAGUAGUUCCCUCUGUAGGAAGAAUCACUAAAUGGAAAGGCUCUCUUAGUUACGAUGUGCCCCGACCCAAGUCCCCAUGUCCGCUUUUAUCCGCCCGCAACCCGGCCAACACAACAUUAGCCCCCCCCCCAUUCUAUGCUGACCUGGGCCGAGGCUCGCUCCGAUACAAUCGGCCCAAAGAGCAUCAAUGA
rnacentral:rRNA from 1 species